rnacentral:misc_RNA from 1 species
UUGAUUUAUUUUUGCAUUAUGCCACUCAGAAGAUACUGAAAAAAACAAGAGUUUGAUUUCCCCGGCGGGUGCCUGGUUCCAGGCCACAAGGGCGCUGGGGCAAUCCCGCCGAAGUAACAAUAGGUAUGUUCACAGGGGUUUGAGAGUUGUAAAUAUACUCUGUAAUGAUCCCUCCGCUGGUUCACCAACGGAGA